rnacentral:rRNA from 1 species
UUCCAGCUCCAAUAGCGUAUAUUAAAGUUGUUGUGGUUAAAAAGCUCGUAGUUGGAUCUCGGCGGUCUGAGGGCGGUUCGCUUCAGAGCGCUACUGCCCUAUAGACCGUAGUUUUGCCAGAGGUCUCAGGGUGCUCUUAACCGAGUGUCUUGCGAUGCUGGCAGGUUUACUUUGAAAAAAUUAGAGUGUUUAAAGCAGGCAGUUGCUAUGAAUACAUUAGCAUGGAAUAAUAAUCUAGGACUUCGGUUCUAUUUUGUUGGUUUCUAGUACUGAAGUAAUGAUUGAUAGGGAUAGUUGGGGGUGCUAGUAUUGAGCGGCCAGAGGUGAAAUUCUUGGAUUCGCUCAAGACUAACUUAUGCGAAAGCAUUCACCAAGGAUGUCUUCAUUG